rnacentral:rRNA from 1 species
UACGAAGGGGGCUAGCGUUGCUCGGAAUCACUGGGCGUAAAGGGUGCGUAGGCGGGUCUUAAGUCAGGCGUGAAAGUCCUGGGCUCAACCUGGGAACUGCGCUUGAUACGGCAGAGCUAGAGGAUGGAAGAGGCUCGCGGAAUUCCCAGUGUAGAGGUGAAAUUCGUAGAUAUUGGGAAGAACACCGGUGGCGAAGGCGGCGAGCUGGUCCAUUACUGACGCUGAGGCGCGACAGCGGUGGGGGAGCAAACAGG